rnacentral:misc_RNA from 1 species
AAGUCGUAACAAGGUUUCCGUAGGUGAACCUGCGGAAGGAUCAUUAACACGUAUCCAAACGUUAAACCCCCCUGUGAACCUUCACCUGUACUCGUACGUCCGUUAGAAAAAGCAGCAAUCCCUGGUAAAUCAUCGCCGAACAGUUUUCGAUUCAGGGAUGUCUGCAAGGAGCGUGCAUGUUGUGCGAGCAAGUGGCCUGGCAUCCCCAAGCAGUUAGUGUCUGAAAGUGUCAUUAACUGUGUAAGGAUGACGCAGUCACGAUCGUUGGAGAGGUCACUGGGCGCAAGCCCCCCUAUAACAAACGCUGCUAAUCGCGGCCGCGAUAAUACGCAGUCGACCAAAAACCGAACAACUGUUAACAAUGGAUAUCUUGGUUCUC